rnacentral:rRNA from 1 species
AGAGCGAACGCUGGCGGCAGGCCUAACACAUGCAAGUCGAGCGCCCCGCAAGGGGAGCGGCAGACGGGAGAGUAACACGUGGGAACGUACCCUUCAGUUCGGAACAACCCAGGGAAACUUGGGCUAAUACCGAAUACGUCCGUAAGGAGAAAGAUUUAUCGCUGAAGGAUCGGCCCGCGUCUGAUUAGCUAGUUGGUGAGGUAACGGCUCACCAAGGCUACGAUCAGUAGCUGGUCUGAGAGGAUGAUCAGCCUCACUGGGACUGAGACACGGCCCAGACUCCUACGGGAGGCAGCAGUGGGGAAUAUUGGACAAUGGGCGCAAGCCUGAUCCAGCCAUGCCGCGUGAGUGAUGAAGGCCCUAGGGUUGUAAAGCUCUUUUGUGCGGGAAGAUAAUGACGGUACCGCAAGAAUAAGCCCGGCUAACUUCGUGCCAGCAGCCGC